rnacentral:miRNA from 1 species
UGAGCUUCUCUUCCAUGACUGUGC